rnacentral:rRNA from 1 species
UACGAAGGGGGGCUAGCGUUGUUCGGAUUUACUGGGCGUAAAGCGCACGUAGGCGGGUUGUUAAGUCAGGGGUGAAAUCCUGGAGCUCAACUCCAGAACUGCCUUUGAUACUGGCAACCUAGAGGCUGGAAGAGGUUAGUGGAAUUCCCCAGUGUAGAGGUGAAAUUCGUAGAUAUUGGGAAGAACACCAGUGGCGAAGGCGGCUAACUGGUCCAGAUCUGACGCUGAGGUGCGAAAGCGUGGGGAGCAAACAGG